rnacentral:lncRNA from 1 species
UCCGCGGCUGUGGAGGAGCUCGUUGGGUACCCGCUGGGCGGGCCAGCCAACCCGAAAUCGGGUUGGAACUCGGGCGGCAGACCCUGGAUCCUGAACUGCACUUCGGCUGAGAGUGCAGAGGAGGAAAAUGGCUAUUGUACAUUCAAAAGCAAGGUUCAAGUUCUGCCUUUUCCAGACUCUGCACUUCUCUAAGAUAGGAACCCAGAAGAGGACUGGUCAUUUCUUGCAGCUAUAAAAACCAUGCCUCAGGUGAAGUGCUAUUUCUUUGUGCCCUCUUUAGUUAUUUUUUUACAGUGUGUAUGUGUGUUGACAUUCCUGAGUCUGAAACCUAUCUGACUGGGAAUAUGCUCCUCAAUUUGUGUCUUCGUUUUCUAAUCUAACCUAUUGUUACAUACUAAAUCAACAAUCUAUUGAGCAUCUGUGACCAGGAACACUGAUAUAGCAAAGAUAGAGAAGGAUGUCAAAAGACACACCUAAAUCUUUGAAUUUCUCUUCAGUCCCUUAUUUCCUAAUUAGACAAGAUAGUAGUUGGUCUUAACUGGGCUGAGUCUCAGUAUGUGGCAAAAGCUCAUGUUUUUGUUUGUUUGGGUUUUUUUGGAGAGGGGUUGGUUGGUUGUUUUUUGAGAUAGGAUCUUACUAUGUAGCCCAGGCUGGCCUGGAACUGGGAUUCUCCUCUGCUUCCUGAGUGCUGGUUUACAGGAACCGAGCAUGCUGUAUAAGCUAAGAGUAGUCACAUGACUAGGGACUGAAUACAGAUCAGGCAUCUUUCUAGGAAUGAUAAUUGGUAAACACCAAUUAAUUUGAUUAUUUUGAAAUUCAACAUCAUUUCCA